UGCGCUUGCGGAUCAUUUUCUAAUUGCGUUACCAAAUAUCAACAAGCAUUUCUGGCGCCGUUGCCAGGGAGAAAGACGGUUUGCUGAGAUAACUUUGAGUCUUGCUAUUAUCUUGUAUUAUACUUUUAUACUUUAUUCUUUUAUCUUUUUAUUUUUAUCUUUAUGGAUAACUCAAAUUCCAUACCUAUUAUUAAAUUCUUUGCACCUUCGGAGACCAGCCAU
rnacentral:lncRNA from 1 species